CGGAACGUAGCGCAGCCUGGUAGCGCGCUUCCUUGGGGUGGAAGAGGUCGUGAGUUCGAAUCUCGCCGUUCCGA
rnacentral:tRNA from 1 species